rnacentral:lncRNA from 1 species
UGAUGUACUAAUGGAGUCUAAGGGUGGCAAGAAGUCUAGCAGUAGUCGUUCCAUGAUGUAUGAAGCUCCCCUUGGCUACAGCAUUGAGGACGUUCGACCUGCCGGAGGCGAGAAGAAGUUCCAGUCUGCUGCUUACUCCAACGUAAGAAUCAAUAAUCAUUGUUAUACUCUUCAUUCUACUUUUGUUGUUUCUGAUUUGUUGCUAACAUUGUCUUUUUCUACUGCAGUGCGCGAAGAAGCCAUCCUGAUAUCCCUUCCGUGCUUCCCCGUCCUAGUAGUUUAGGAUUUCUUUUCUAACGCUUUGAUUCUGACCAAUCUCUCUGGCCUGCUGCUUCCUGAUAAUCGACCAGUUCUCGAGUCUUGCUCCCUGCACUCCUCCCUCCAUCUCCAGCAUCGUUUUCUCACUCACCCGCUCCAAUGGCUGUUCUUUCUGCUGCUGACGCUCACCCGGUCUCAGCGAUCGGGUUUGAGGGCUAUGAGAAGCGCCUUGAGAUCACCUUCUCUGAGGCGCCUGUCUUUGUCGACCCUCAUGGGCGUGGUUUGCGUGCCCUUUCCAGGGCCCAGAUUGAUUCUGUUUUGGAUCUUGCACGGUGCACCAUCGUGUCCGAGCUCUCCAACAAGGAUUUUGACUCCUAUGUCCUCUCUGAGUCGAGCCUGUUUAUCUAUCCUCUGAAGAUUGUCAUCAAAACAUGUGGGACUACCAAGCUCCUGCUCACCAUUCCAAGGAUUAUUGAGCUUGCUGAAGAGCUGUCUAUGCCGCUUGCUGCUGUGAAGUACUCCCGUGGGAUGUUCAUCUUCCCCGGUGCACAGCCAGCCCCCCACAGGAGCUUCUCUGAGGAGGUUGCUGCCCUUAACCGCUACUUUGGUGGCCUGAAGUCUGGUGGUAAUGCUUAUGUGAUUGGAGAUCCUGCAAGACCUGGACAGAAGUGGCACAUCUACUAUGCCACCGAGUACCCAGAGCAACCCAUGGUUAACCUUGAGAUGUGCAUGACUGGUCUGGACAAGAAGAAAGCUUCAGUCUUUUUCAAGACUUCUGCUGAUGGCCACACAACGUGUGCCAAAGAAAUGACCAAGCUCUCUGGUAUCUCUGAAAUUAUUCCUGAGAUGGAGAUCUGUGAUUUUGACUUUGAACCCUGCGGCUACUCCAUGAACGCUAUCCAUGGCUCUGCUUUCUCCACCAUUCAUGUGACGCCUGAGGAUGGUUUCAGCUAUGCCAGCUAUGAAGUUAUGGGCUUCGACGCCACUGCACUUGCCUACGGCGACCUCGUGAAGAGGGUCCUCAGGUGCUUUGGCCCUUCGGAGUUCUCUGUUGCUGUGACUAUCUUUGGUGGGCGUGGCCAAGCCGCGACAUGGGGCAUGAAGCUUGAUGCUGAGGUUUACGACUGCAACAACAUGGUAGAGCAGGAGCUGCCCGGUGGUGUGCUUAUCUACCAGAGCUUUUCUGUUACUGAAGAUGCUAUUGUUGGCUCGCCCAAAUCUGUUCUUCAUUGCUUCGAGGGUGAGAACCUGGAGAAUGCUGCUCCUGUGAAGGACGGCAAACUGGCUAAUCUUCUCUGCUGGGAGGAAGAGGAUGCCAUGGAGGAGAAGGACGGCGUGCUUGCUGAGUAAGACUGGGGAAGGUGUCGAUUUGCUGCUGAGUUAUUUUUUUUUCUAAAUGUUGCGAUUGUCGUUUGGUUAUUGUGUGAAGCAGCCAAGCCAGGCUAUUUAUUAUGAAAAU